GUUAAUAGCAGCAUCAGGGAAUAUACAGCGUGAAUCAUGAGACGACAACGUGCGUGAAAGACACCAGCGAUCCCAAAUGUGCCUUGCGUCCCUCACGCGGUGGCGAAUUCACGGAGAGGACACAUCAUUAGACGGAAAGAAAAUGCUUCACGCGUUUCCUUCCUCCUUCUGCAUUACAGUACAAACUUGUACGGAGAACAGUGCAACGUGGCGAGAUCUCAAUGUCUCACUCGUCCUAGAACCAAAAUCGAACGCAUGUAAAACUCGACCGAGUUCACUAAGGACUCUCGCCUCCCAUUGCAUUUCAAGAGAGUCAUAAAGGCUUAAGAUUUCUUCAUCAAGUCAAGCUCAUGAAAUCGAUGUACAAGCCAAGAAGCUGAACAGAUUAGGCCAAAGAGUCCAAAAUUUAUUUAUUCAUUUAUUGGAAAUUUUUUCAAAAUGUCAAUAUUUUGACAUUUAAUAGGACUCAGUGUCAACAUUUUCAAUAUUGAGUAAAUAUGUCAGGUUUUUCAUUUA